rnacentral:rRNA from 1 species
AACGAACGCUGGCGGCGUGCCUAACACAUGCAAGUCGAACGAGACCUUCGGGUCUAGUGGCGCACGGGUGCGUAACGCGUGGGAACCUGCCCUUAGGUUCGGAAUAACUCCCCGAAAGGGGUGCUAAUACCGGAUAAUGUCUUCGGACCAAGGAUUUAUCGCCUUUGGAUGGGCCCGCGUUGGAUUAGCUAGUUGGUAGGGUAAAAGCCUACCAAGGCGACGAUCCAUAGCUGGUCUGAGAGGAUGAUCAGCCACACUGGGACUGAGACACGGCCCAGACUCCUACGGGAGGCAGCAGUGGGGAAUAUUGGACAAUGGGCGAAAGCCUGAUCCAGCAAUGCCGCGUGAGUGAUGAAGGCCUUAGGGUUGUAAAGCUCUUUUACCCGGGAUGAUAAUGACAGUACCGGGAGAAUAAGCUCCGGCUAACUCCGUG